UGUGGCUCAGCAAUAGAGUGCUUGCCUACGAUGCAUGAAGCCCUGGGUUCAAUCCCCAGCA
rnacentral:tRNA from 1 species